AAUUUGUAAAGUCCUCCUAGAAUUUAUCUAUCAUGUCCAAAAAAACAAAGCUAGCAAAAUGUGCAACCAAAUCCAACACUUGAGAGGACCCUAUUUGUCAAGAUGCAGUUUCUUCUGAUUCUGAAAAACCACUGCCUUCUCCACUAACAAGUUUGUUGGGUCUCCAGAAAGUUGACCUUUUCUGUGAAGAACCAAGAAUAGAAAUAAUUAUGCUGUUGUAUCUGGUCAUGUCUUUGCUAGUAUAUUUGCAGAUGUCCUGAUAACACUAUAGUGUUGAAGAUAUAAAGGUCAUUUCUAAUGAGUGAAAACAUUUUUGAUUUCACACUUCCCACAUCUUGUACUCUGUUUAUAAGAACUACUGAAGAUGGAUUAAGCUUUUCAAAAAAUUAAAUGGUAGUCUAUCACUUCAAAUCAAAUAAAUCCUUCUUUUUAUU